rnacentral:rRNA from 1 species
UGGGGAAUAUUGGACAAUGGGCGAAAGCCUGAUCCAGCCAUGCCGCGUGGGUGAAGAAGGUCUUCGGAUUGUAAAGCACUUUAAGUUGGGAGGAAGGGCAGUAAGCGAAUACCUUGCUGUUUUGACGUUACCGACAGAAUAAGCACCGGCUAACUCUGUGCCAGCAGCCGCGGUAAUACAGAGGGUGCAAGCGUUAAUCGGAAUUACUGGGCGUAAAGCGCGCGUAGGUGGUUCGUUAAGUUGAAUGUGAAAGCCCCGGGCUCAACCUGGGAGCUGCAUCCAAAACUGGCGAGCUAGAGUAGGGCAGAGGGUGGUGGAAUUUACUGUGUAGCGGUGAAAUGCGUAGAUAUCGGAAGGAACACCAGUGGCGAAGGCGGCCACCUGGGCUCAUACUGACACUGAGGUACGAAAGCGUGGGGAGCAAACGGG